UACGUAGGGUGCGAGCGUCAAUCGGAAUUACUGGGCGUAAAGCGUGCGCAGGCGGUUCUCCAAGUCCGUUGUGAAAGCCCCGGGCUCAACCUGGGAAUGGCAGUGGAAACUAGGGGACUGGAAUCUGGCAGAGGGGGGUGGAAUGCCGCGUGUAGCAGUGAAAUGCGUAGAGAUGCGGCGGAACACCGAUGGCGAAGGCAGCCCCCUGGGCUGAGAUUGACGCUCAGGCACGAAAGCGUGGGGAGCAAACAGG
rnacentral:rRNA from 1 species